rnacentral:rRNA from 1 species
AGCAGCCGCGGUAAUUCCAGCUCCAAUAGCGUAUAUUAAGGUUGUUGCAGUUAAAAAGCUCGUAGUUGAAUUUCGGGGUUAGUAGGCUGGUCGUGCCACUGGUACGUACUGGUCUUACUGAUUCCUCCUUCCUGAUGAACCGUAAUGCCAUUAAUUUGGUGUUGCGGGGAAACUGGACUGUUACUUUGAAAAAAUUAGAGUGUUUAAAGCAGGCUAACGCUUGAAUACAUUAGCAUGGAAUAAUGAAAUAGGACGUUCGAUCUUAUUUUGUUGGUUUCUAGGAUUGACGUAAUGAUUAAUAGGGAUAGUUGGGGGGCAUUAGUAUUCAAUUGUC